rnacentral:rRNA from 1 species
UACGUAGGAUGCAAGCGUUGUCCGGUUUUAUUGGGUUUAGAGGGGGCGUAGGCGGCGUAUUAAGUUCUUGGUGAAAACGUUCGGCUUAACCGGAUACCCGCCAUUGAUACUGAUAGACUUGAGUGCGACAGAGGGUGUUGGAAUGUGUGGUGUAGCGGUGAAAUGCUUAGAUAUCACGCAGAACACCAAUUGCGAAGGCAGAUGCCUAUGUCGUAAUUGACGCUGAGGCACGAAAGCGUGGGGAGCAAACAGG